rnacentral:rRNA from 1 species
GAUGAACGCUGGCGGCGCGCCUAACACAUGCAAGUCGAACGAUUAAAGCACCUUCGGGUGUGUAUAAAGUGGCGAACGGCUGAGUAACACGUGGGCAACCUGCCCCUCGCAUUGGGAUAGCCACGGGAAACCGUGGAUAAUACCGAAUACUUCGGGACUUCCGCAUGGAAGACUCGAGAAAGCUCCGGCGGAGGGGGAUGGGCCCGCGGCCUGUUAGCUUGUUGGUGGGGUAAUGGCCUACCAAGGCAAUGAUGGGUAGCUGGGUUGAGAGACCGACCAGCCAGAUUGGGACUGAGACACGGCCCAGACUCCUACGGGAGGCAGCAGUGGGGAAUCUUGCACAAUGGGCGCAAGCCUGAUGCAGCGACGCCGCGUGCGGGAUGAAGGCCUUCGGGUUGUAAACCGCUUUCAGCAGGGACGAAGCGAAAGUGACGGUACCUGCAGAAGAAGCCCCGGCUAACUACGUG